UACGUAGGGUGCAAGCGUUGUCCGGAAUUAUUGGGCGUAAAGGGCUCGUAGGCGGUUUGUCGCGUCGGGCGUGAAAUCCACUGGCUUAACUGGUGGCUUGCUUUCGAUACGGGCAGACUGGAGGUAUGCAGGGGAGAACGGAAUUCCUGGUGUAGCGGUGAAAUGCGCAGAUAUCAGGAGGAACACCGAUGGCGAAGGCAGGUCUCUGGGCAUUAACUGACGCUGAGGAGCGAAAGCAUGGGGAGCGAACAGG
rnacentral:rRNA from 1 species